rnacentral:rRNA from 1 species
GAUGAACGCUAGCGGCAGGCUUAACACAUGCAAGUCGAGCGGCAGCGCGGGAUAGCAAUACCCUGGCGGCGAGCGGCGGAAGGGUGCGUAACGCGUGAGCGACAUGCCCCUUGCCCGGGGAUAACCGGUGGAAACGACGACUAAUCCCCGAUGGGAUAUUGUGCCGCAUGGCACGAUAGUGAAAGUUACGGCGGCGACGGAUUGGCUCGCGUCCGAUUAGCUUGUUGGCGGGGUAACGGCCCACCAAGGCUGCGAUCGGUAGCGGUUCUGAGAGGAAGGCCCCCCACAAUGGGACUGAGACACGGCCCAUACGCGACAGGGAGGCGGCAGUGAGGAAUGUUAGUAAAUGGGCGGAUGCCUGAACCAGCCAUGGCGCGUGCGGGAAGGAGGCCGUGUGGGAUGUGAACCGCUUUUGCCUGGGGGCAAUAAGGGCGUCGCGCACGUCCGAUGAGAGUACCAGGCGAAUAAGCAUCGGCUAACUCCGUG